rnacentral:rRNA from 1 species
GAUGAACGCUGGCGGCGUGCCUAAUACAUGCAAGUCGAGCGAACAGACGAGGAGCUUGCUCCUCUGAUGUUAGCGGCGGACGGGUGAGUAACACGUGGAUAACCUACCUAUAAGACUGGGAUAACUUCGGGAAACCGGAGCUAAUACCGGAUAAUAUUUUGAACCGCAUGGUUCAAUAGUGAAAGACGGUUUUGCUGUCACUUAUAGAUGGAUCCGCGCUGCAUUAGCUAGUUGGUAAGGUAACGGCUUACCAAGGCAACGAUGCAUAGCCGACCUGAGAGGAGGGUGAGCGACAAUGGAGGUGAGACAAGGUGGAGAAGACUACGAGAGGAAGCAGUAGGAGAGAAUCCGCAGUGAGGGAAAGAAGGAUGAAGGAACAACGCGGGAUGGAUGAAGAACGUCGGAGCAUAGAAAAAUGCUAUUAGGAGAGAAGAAAAGAGGAAGAAACAACGCAGGACAUGACGACAGUAAAUAAGGAAAAAACGACUAACAACGAC